AGCCCCUGUCUUUAGUUUCUUCAGUGAAUUCUGGCGGCAAUAUCGCACAGUCGCCAGCGAUCAUGUCAGGUCUUAUGAUCCAUAAAAAUGGGUGACCGCUUUUUGCAAGUCCCGUUCCAAAUUCAAUGAGCUGCUGCUUUGUAGCGACCGCUACGCUGCCAAAAUUAACAUAAACGACAGAGUUGGGUUUCUGGGAAUCCAGCCAUUGGAGACACUCAACUUCUUCUUUCCAUAGAUUACAUCCAAUAGAAUUCAGAUCAUCUUCUUGAAUUUUAUUGAGAAGCAACUGAAGUGGACCCAUCGCAUAGACACGAGGAAACAUGGAGUAAAGGGCAUUCAGAACCUCUUGCUCCAAAGCAUCAAAAGUAUGGAAAAUAACGGCAGAACCUUCAGAAGCCCUCUCAGCACAUUCCACGCCGAAGUUAAACAUAUAAUCAUCAGGAUCUGUUGUUCGAACAAAACUGGGAAGGUCCCUUAACUUUAUAUCUCUCAUUCCUGGGAUCCAAUCUACCACUUUGUCCAAGUAGCCAUUUGUUAGAAAGCUCUCAUCUGCAAACAAAAAUUGAACGUACAUAUAGCUUUCAGUAUUGGAGCUAUUUUUUUUUUCUUAUAAACGUUAUGCUAGCAAGUGAAUAAAAAUGACUGAAGAAACAGAGAAAAAUAAAAUAAAUAUAAAGAAGGUUCCCUAGCUUGUGUCCUAGUGAAAAGCAUGAAUAAUUAAGGGAAAUAGUAUACUUGUAGGAGAAAAUAUUCACGAGUACAACUCACCUGAAGUCCACUCAAAUAAUUAAUUAUGAGGGAAUAACUAUAAACAAAGUGAUUAUUGUAGAAAUCCUCUCUUUGUGAGUGUGGAUUAUUGAGCCUGACUGGUGCAAUAAUUUAUUUAUUUGGAGACAUUUCAAGCAACUACAAAUCUUAAUGAAACUAUAGUUUUUUUUUUCUUUGUCCAUACCUUUUAGUGGCGUAAGGCCUUUUUCUUUGAGUGCUUGAAAUUGUUCAAUCCCCAUGAAGCUGCAAGCAGAGAUAGUAAAGAACAACGCAAUAGGAAUUUCGUGCAUCGCAGCAGCAUCGAUAGCGACUGGCAUGAAACCAUCAGAGACGAUGCAAGUCACUGGGGGGGCAUCUGAAGAAGCUGUGUCAUUCAACUUGUCAAGCAGGUCAUUAAAUGGACCCAGUAAGUUCUUCCUGGAAGCCUCGCAAAUUGCAUACGUAUUCUGGGUGGCAUUCUCAUCCGAAGGAGGGAGGCCAUCCGGAAUGGAUUCAAACCGAAAAUCGGGCAAACCAUUCAUGGAAUCAGGACCUCUAGAUUUAAGUAAACGUCUGUGAUUGAACUCUGUAUUGACAAAGGUAAUGUGAAAGCCUUUGUAAUGUAAUAGUUUUGCUAGUUUAAGCACUGAUUUUAUGUGGCUCUGAGCUGGGGUGGGAAUGCAGACAACAUGAGGCUUAUGAUCAGCUGAAAUAUUACAAGCCAUCUCUUUAAAUCCCCCCCCCCCCCUUUUUUCUUGUUUUUUCUUGUUUUUUUUUUUUGCCCUUUCUCUCUCUGUUUGCUCCUUUGCAUGCUCAGAAGAAGUUCUGGUAUUUGUAUAAAGCAAUGCUAAAAUUUCUGCUGCAAUUGUUUU